AGAUGCUGCGCAGCAGUCUCCGAUUCCCCAUCACCAAUUCGGCUGGCGUCUCCGAGACCGCGGACUCCCGUAGGGUCCCCGUGGCCCCGAGUUGUAGUCGGGACACCCCGGCCGCGGGUGAUCGUCGGGUCUCCACGCGCCCGGGUCGCUGACGCGGAUCCGGCCUCGGCGCCUUCUCAGGGCGCCCUGCAAGGCCGCAGGCAGGAUGAACAUUCUGGCACCCGUGCGGAGGGAUCGCGUCCUGGCGGAGCUGCCCCAGUGCCUGAGGAAGGAGGCCGCUUUGCACGGGCACAAAGACUUCCACCCCCGCGUCACCUGCGCCUGCCAGGAGCACCGGACAGGCACCGUGGGGUGAGUUAGGGACACCCACAACAAAGAGAGGAGGUCCCAGGAAACUCUGUAGUCAUAGCGAGGGUAAACAACCACCCCCUUGGGGCUUCAUUUCAGCCCCUACCAGCUAUAUGGUUAUUUCCCCCUCUUUAAGCCCCUGUAUCCCCUCCUUUUCUCCCAACAAGGUUGUUGUGAGUUCUAUGAGAUGGGGUUGGGUAGAAGGGUGGCAGCUGGAUUUCUGAGUAGAGACUAAGGUGUCUGAAAUGGGAAGGUGGUCACCUGCUCAGAUCCCCACAUAGCAUCCAUGGAGCCCCAGGGCAGGGGUCUGGCUGUGCUUACAGGGAUGAGUCUUAUUGUGGGUUUUAAAGGUAAUACUGAUAACAGUUGGCACCAUUAAUUAAGCAUUUGCUGUGUGCCAGGCAGUGUUGGGUACUAUCAUCUUUAUUGAAUGGAAAAGUCCAUCACUUAAGAUAUAUCCUGAUUUCAGACAUUAAAAUGCGGGGGGGAGGGUGUCUUAGAAUAUAGGACAUUUAUCUCAUUUUAACCUUCACAACGACCCAGUAAAAUAUAUACUAACUUUACUUAAAUGUUUAAACUGAGGCUUAGAGAGGCUAAAUAACGUGUCCAAAGUCACACAGCUAAUCAGUGUGAGAGCUGGGAUUCAAAUUCAUGUCUCUCUGCUUCUGGAGCACAAAACACUCCUCCUCCCCAGCACACCUGUCCACGCAGCUGCCUGGGAUGCCUGGUGUCUAUAAUACCCUCAGCCUGGGUGCAGCUACCUUUCUGGACCUAGUCGGGAGCAUUGGAACUCCCUAGGGUGAAAGAGCUCGUGCCCACUCCCCUUGCCCACUCUUGUGUCCAGCAGAUUUAAGAUCUCCAAGGUCAUUGUGGUGGGGGACCUGUCGGUGGGGAAGACUUGCCUCAUUAAUAGGUUCUGCAAAGACACCUUUGAUAAGAAUUACAAGGCCACCAUUGGAGUGGACUUCGAGAUGGAACGAUUUGAGGUGCUGGGCAUUCCCUUCAGUUUGCAGCUGUGAGUGCUUCCACACCCCUUCCAGCUAUCCCUUCUCCCCAGCACCCACACCCCCCAAGAUACAUACCUGUGCUUCACUCUUCCUUCCUUCCAGUUGGGAUACCGCUGGGCAGGAGAGGUUCAAAUGCAUUGCAUCAACCUACUAUAGAGGAGCUCAAGCCAUCAUCAUUGUCUUCAACCUGAAUGAUGUGGCAUCUCUGGAACAUACCAAGUAAGUGAGCAUCCUGC
rnacentral:lncRNA from 1 species